rnacentral:rRNA from 1 species
UACGUAGGGUGCAAGCGUUGUCCGGAAUUAUUGGGCGUAAAGAGCUCGUAGGCGGUUUGUCGCGUCUGCUGUGAAAACUCGGGGCUUAACCCCGGGCCUGCAGUGGGUACGGGCAGACUAGAGUGCGGUAGGGGAGACUGGAAUUCCUGGUGUAGCGGUGAAAUGCGCAGAUAUCAGGAAGAACACCCGUGGCGAAGGCGGCUCUCUGGAACGCAACUGGACGCUGAGACGCGAAAGCGUGGGGAGCAAACAGG